GGAGAUGGAAACAGGGAAUUUCCUACUCUCCUCCAUUCCCUGGACUCAUAGCCUUUUAAGACUCCAUCAGCCUCGAAGUUCAUUUGUGUGGCACUAAAAGUAAACCAAAAGCAGGAAGCUAAGGAUCUUUCACCUCUAAUGCACCCUGACCUUGGCUAUUUCAUGUCAGGGUCUGUGCAGUCUAAGCCCAGGCAGCCAACAUGCUUGGAGGAUACUUCAUGUAGUGGUACCUACAGCUCUUUCCAGAAGGCCAUGAAAAUCGAAUUACAUGGUGGGCUUGACUGAGACCAAUGUCUGAGACUUGUCCUUCUGAAGAAGUGGAUGUCUGCUGCCCACUUGUGAGAAUUGCUUGCAGCCAAACAAGUAUGAGCCACAAAGAAGUGCUACACAGCCAAUAUAUCACACCACACAUGAUGACUCACAUGUGAUUUGAACUUGUCUCUAUUUGGUUAAAUCUGGGCUCACGAAUACUUGAGAGACAAGGCCUCACUCUGUUGCCCAGGCUGGAGUGCUGUGAUGCGAUCAUGGCUCACCGCAACCUCAACUUCUUGGGCUCAAGCAAUCCUCCUGCCUAAGCUUCCUGAGAAGUGGGGACCACAGUUCCUUGCUUUGAUGAAGCAAGCUGCCAUGUUGGAGACAAAUGACUGAGGACAAUGUCCGGCCAACAAGCAGAAAGGAAAUGAAUCUACCACCAACUAUGUGGACAUGGAAGUGGAUUCUUUUCCUGUUGAGCCUUCUGAUGACUCCAGCUCAGCCGAUGCCUUGAUGCAGCUAGAAAUAAUGCAGCAGACAGCCAUGGGAGAAGCCUGGAGAGCAGUAAGAGGAAGGAGAACUCAUGACUUAUCCAGGACCCCAGAACUGGAGGAACAGCAGAGCAGCAGGGCAUCUCAGCUCCUCAACCCAACAUAAAAAGGCCACCUAGACUCAGCAUUUCCCCACCCCCAAACCAGCAACAUUUGACAGUUCAAGUAGGAACAUAUUUCCCUGGGCUGACCUGAGAUCUCUGGCACCUCCAGCAAGGGGGAUCAAAAUGGACUCUUGACAAUAGCAAGCAGCCAGGGCACCCACUCUCCUCUACUGGCUCCAAGACUGUCUUUUGCCAGCAGGAGACACUGACACUCUCGGGGAAAACCAGCAAGAGGUACCUUGACAGAAGAGGGACCUGGCCCAGGAAGUCUCUUCCCCAUCCCUGCAGGCCAGAGACUCCCCUGUUCUGUGCAAAACACAAGAUCAACAGCCAGAGGGGCUUGACACAAGCAGUGUGACCAGUGAUGGCUUUGUCUUAAAGAGACAGAGACACUCCCCUUUUCAGCACAGAGACUGGGGGGCUGCCGAGGACAGUUGCAAAAAGGACUCCACCCAAAACUGGAAACAGCCCAUAUGUCCCUCGACAAAUGAAUGGCUAAACAAACUGGUGCAUUCAGACAUAAUAGAAUAGCUGUCCGGGAUCACUCUCUCUGUGUGCUUACAGAGCAGCACAGAAAACUUACAAGUGUUUCUUCUCAUCACUUCCUCCUCCCAUGCUGUUCUUGUCCAGCAUUUUUUUUAACCUUCUGAUGUUGUUACCCACAAAAUUAGUCAUUGCCAAUAGUGCUGAUUUUAUUUAUGAGCAAUAUAUCAAUAAGUUACUGAAAUAUUGACAUAUUUUUGAUUUAAAAUUCUGGAAUAUAGACAAAGAUACGAAAUAUUGUUUAAAUAAUGAAGAUGAAUGAAAAAUACAAUGAGAAAGUUUAUUAUUUUAUUAGAUUCUGGAGAAGAUAAUAAAAGCAAUUGGUAGAGAUGAUAUUUAAAGAUAUAUACAUGAAGAUUUUCCUGAAUAGAUGAAGCUUUCAAAUUCAGGAACGUGUCUCUUUCAUCAGGCUGUUUGAAAAAUGUUUCUUCAUAGUUUUGCAGCUGCCUAAUAAUGUGCUUACUGUAAAAUGAAGGAGAAAGAUGUACCAUGCAAAUGGUUCUGCUUGCUAUUGCUGCAUUAUUUAGGGAUUUAAAGAUUUUGUUGUUGUUAUUUGUUGUUGCUGUUGUUCUGCCGAGAUGCCUUAAAUCUCAGGUAGCAUGGGAAAUUAAACUCUGCCGCUUCGCUAGGUAAUAUAGGAUUUGUCUUGAAAUGAACAUGGAAUCAAAAAGCAAAGUGCUUUUUUCUUCUUCUCUUAGAACUGUUUCCAAUGAUGAAAAUUUUGACCCAUAACAUUCACCUGUUCAUUUUAUUAUCCCACAGAUACAUGUAUUUUUGUGCUGCUAUAUUAAAAAAACACUGCAGCCAUGAUGAAUUCUCCCCUGCCCCCACAUUAUUCUCUCUCUGUCUCUUACACACACACACACACACACACACACACACACACACACACACACACGAUAACUUUGGUUGUCUGCAUUAGUUUCUCCUUAUGUCAAACACCAUUUAUCCAUUUUUUCUUUCUGGAAGGCUUGACUACACUGAUCAUGAAUUAUAUACUUCCUGCAACUAGUAUUGUCUAUGGCAAACUGAUCACCAGUAAUAAUCACUUGGUAUUCUGUAUAUACCACAGCACAGGGAUAAAACACAGCCAAAGAAUUUAUUAGAAACACAAGCAAAUCUGGCAUUAGCUUCCUUCUAAUUGAUGAUAAUUAGACAAACUAUUUUAACAUAAUUAUUCAGGUACAGGUACAAGGCAUGUUGAAACAAGUUACUUGCAUUCUAAGUUUCCAUAUGUGGAAAGCUUUACUGGAGAGCUAUAUAUAUAUAUGUAUGUAUAUAUGGAGAUAGAGUAAGAGAAAGAGAGAGAGAAAGAGAAAGGGGAGGGAGAGGAAAUGUUUCUUGUGCAAUAGUAUCAUAAAUUGAAUACUAAUUUUAGAUCAUUUUGCAUUUGCUCAAUGAGCAACAACUGAGCAUGCCUGGUUUGCAAAUUCAAGAGUAUCUCAGCAGAGAUCAUUUUUCAUUCUUUGUCUCUAAACUGAUUUAAUGCUACCUAAUAAGCACCUGUACUUCCCUUUAGUCAAUCUUUUUGUUCAUUUCUUUAAUGUGGUGAUGUCAAACCUGUACAAACAUAAGUUACACAGUUCAUUUCCCUACUAGACUUGCUCUUCUACCUUCUGUGUAAAGUCAUCAUUUUCAAGAAUGCUAAGCAUGUAAAGUUGGGGACCACCUGUACUUUUGGAGGGUCACUUUGGUAGAACAACACUGGCACCUAGUGGCACGUGUUAUGAAGGGAAAUACCUCCCAAAGACAGGCCAUGCAGGAGUGCAAAUCCCCAUGGAUUUACCAAUUGGUCCUCAAGACUUGGGUUUGCUGGUCCAUAAUAACAUGCAUUUUAAUUGCACAAGUCACAGAGCUCCGGUUCUCAAAAAUAGUGUGAAGAAAAAAAAACACUGUGCUACCUUUUGAGACUACAACUACUAGUUUAUAAUAUUUUGCAGUGUAAUUGAUUAUAGGAAAUAAACUAAUGACUUAAUCAAUGGACAACAUCAUAUUGCCCAAUGUUUUUGAGUAGAUAUUAUAAGAAAAGAAUAAAAAAUCCACAAUCUUUUCAAGUCCUAGAGGAAUUUAGGGCCUAAUCAAGGUGACUAGAUGUUUAUUUUUCAAUUCAUACAUCCCAAAAUAUGUAUGGAUCCAUUCCAUGAGUUCUGUUUGAGGUACUGUGGGUAAAGAAAUAGGGCAAGCUCCCAGUCUUCCAGGGGAGGUCAAUCAACCAGUCAGUUAUCUUAUCUGCCCCAUAGAUGUAAAGGAAUAAAUAUGGGUGAGAAUUAUAGAAACAAAUCUUUUUUUUUUUUUUUUUUUUUUAAUGGAGUCUCGCUCUGUUGCCUAGGCUGGUGUGCAAUGGCGCAAUCUUGGCUCACUGCAACCUCCGCCUCCCAGGUUCAGGCAAUUCUCCUGCCUCAGCCUCCUGAGUAGCUGAGAUUACAGGAGCCCACCUGCAUGCCCGGCUAAUUUUUUGUAUUUUUAGUAGAUACUGUGUUUCAUCAUGUUGGCCAGGCUGGUCUCCAACUCCUGACCUCAGGUGAUCCACCCACCUCAGCCUCCCAAAGUGCUGGGGUUACAGGUGUGAGCCACUGCGCCUGGCAGGAAACAAAUCUUUUACAGUGAAAGAGGAGAAGACUCUUGGCUGAGGAACACAGAAGUUUUCAGAAACCCACACUAACUCAGUUGGGUCUUGAAUGGUGGGCGUAACUGGGCUAUGCAGACAUGAGAAGGAAGGAGGAGGAACAUUUUGAUGGAUGAUGUGCCCUAAUCACGGCUUGAGUCAGGAAACCUUGGGGUGUAUAUAAAAAGGGUCCCAAGUAGUUUUUAUAGAAACAUGAGUCACAGGAAAGGGUUCAGAGGUACCAUGUUGGACAUGCAACUGGAUGGACUGCAGGAAAGGCACUGGCUGGGUGCUUAGGGGAGGGAGAGGUGGCAGCCACCUCAGGGGUGGGCACUUGGGAAUUCUUACAAGUCCUUUGACCUCUCUGUGGCCUUCACCACACUUUUUCUGGCACCCUCAUCCCUCCACUCAUCAGGUCAUGGCUUUCUUCUGUAAGCCAAGGGCAACGUGACCACUUACUUGGAAUUGUUCUGAGUAACAGCAAUUUCAAACAUCUGUCUUGUGAUCAAAUUAUGUAAAUAAAACUCCUGUUAAAAGAAAAA
rnacentral:lncRNA from 1 species